rnacentral:lncRNA from 9 species
AAUGGGACAACAGAGGUGCCGCCUGUAGCUGGGAAGGACUUGGGGUGCUGUUCACAGACACUUCCGUACCCCACAUGUGGGGCCCCUCCUCUGCACCCCACCCCAGGAGACCUGUCAGCUGGCGAGGGCCUGGACAGAAUGGCCCCUGGGUGCAGGGACACGUGCCAGCCCGCAUCCUCCAGCAGCUCGGGGGCAGGAAGUCAAGUCCCAGGGACCCGCUGGGCAUGGCCUUUCAGGGUGGGGUGUCAGGCCGCGGCCCACAGUGUUUUCUGGAGGGGUCCGUGGUUUGGAAGGGACAGGGAACUGAAUGACAGUUUGGAAGUUGAGCGCUGAGCAGCAUGGCUUUAUCUGGGACAUGGAGUGUACAGGCAGGUAAAUGAGGGCCCCUCCAGGAUCCCCCCUUGGGGUGUGGGGGUGAGGUUUCCCGAGCUGAUGUGUAGAGAGAGCUGGCCGGCCCUCAGCGCCCCGGGGAGGCCAGCAGUGGGCAGCCAGGACCCUUUAAGUCAAGGCAGUGUGGCGCUGCCUACUCACCACGGCCAGGACUUCCUGGGGUGUGAAGGGCCAGAAAGCAGCAGGGCAGCCGGGGGGCACUUCCAGAGGGGCUCAGGGGGCGGGGGGCGCAUGGUCUCAGCCCUGCAGGAGGGGACUCCGUGACUGCCACCUAGAGAGGAACCCCAGAGAGGCUGAAAGUGCAGGAGUCUGUGCCCAAGAUGUGGAGAGGAGGGGGCUUGCCUGGGGGUCAGGAGAGGAGGGGCCUGGGCCCUCUGUCCUGCUGCUGCAGUGGCUGCUCACACAUUAGACUCAACCCCCACUGGGCCCUAGUAGGGCCGUGCCCUGACUGGCUGGUAUCUCAGGCCUGGAAGAGCCAGGCUCAGGGGGACUUGGGGCCAGAGUGGGUGAGGGCAGGUGCGUGAUGCCACCAACUCUGGCCAGAACAGGCUUUGGGUGGGUGGGCACGGAAGGGUCCCAGAACCAGGCCUGGAGGUGGUGGGGGCCGGAUGCCCCCCAGCCAUUCCUCAGGGCCCCGCCCAGGCCUUGGCCUCUGGACGGGUCAGUCCCAACCCAAGUCCGGGCUCCUCCCUUCACCCGCCAUUGCCGCUCGGCCGUGGCCUUGGCCUUGGCCUGUGCAAAUCACUGUUCACAAAUGUGUAAGAUUUUCCAGGCCAGUUCGUUAUGGGAGACGAAUUUCAGGACAUGAACAUGAGUCUUUUUGCACCAUUUAUUUUUUGAAUUCUCCCUCUUCGUGGAAAAAUAGCUGCAAGUGUAAAAGUGAGUCAGCCCUGAGUCUUAUGAGACCUGCAAGGUGCGGACGGUGAAGGCAGGUACCCUGGAGAAGCUGGUGGGGCACCUGGUGCCCGCCUUCCAGGGCAGCGACCUCUCCUACGUCACCGUCUUCCUGUGCACCUACCGGGCCUUCACCACCACCCAGCAAGUCCUGGACCUGCUGUUCGAAAGGUGAGCGCCCCGCCCCCCAGCACAGCGGCUCCCGCCCACCUCCUGGCUGUGCUUCCUCAGAGGAUACAGGGCCUCUCUGAGCCUGGCUUUGCUCGGGUCAAAGCCAGGCUGCCAAGAGGCCGACCUCACAAGGUUGUCAGCACUAUGGGACAAACACGGACAGUGUCACCCUGGGCCUGGCCAUGGAAGGGGCCGCUGAGGGACGUGGGGGUUCUUCCUGAGGUGUCCCUCUCCCCCCGUGAAGAAGCUCUCUGCCUCCCCAUUUGGAAAGGAGGUUCAGGGUUCUGUCUUGGGGGCCCCCUCCUGGGAGUGGCCAGAGCAGGGUCACCGGGGGCUGGCCGAGGGCCCAGGCCCACUCGGCUCUCUGUAAGGUGCUGAGCACUUUGCUGGGCACAGGGCCGAUCUCAGUGAGCCGGGCAGACCUCUCCCCACCCUCCCGGGCCCUGUCCUAGUUGGGGAGUCGGCCCGUAACCCUGGCCCUCACAGCAGGUACGGUAGGUGUGACGCACUCACGGCCUCCUCUAGAUACGGCUGCAUCCUGCCUUAUGCCCACGAGGACGGCGGGCCCCAGGACCAGCUGAAAAACCUGCCUGCCCCAGUGCCAUCUCCUCCAUCGUGGGCACCUGGCUGGACCAGUACUCGGAGGACUUCGUCAGCCCUGCGACUUUCCCUGCCUCAAGCAGCUGGUGGCCUAUGUGCAGCUCAACAUGCCCGGCUCCGACCUGGAGCGCCGUGCCCACCUUCUCCUGGCCCAGCUGGAGCAUGCGGAGCUCACCCAGGCAGAGCCAGAGGCUUCACUGCAUCUCAGGAUCUAGCGAAGGUGCCAACACCAGCUCCUGGACCAUCUGAAGUUCUGGAUCCAGCGGAAGAAGCAGCAACAGAACCAAAGCCACAUCCUGCGCUGGAGGAACAUUUGCAUUCGUAGCCAGAGCGACACGGCUGGUCGGCAGCUCCAGAGCAAAGCAGACGCCAUGGUCAGUUCCAUCAGCACCUCCACCCGGACCUGCGGCCGCAUCUGCUCCUGCAGGAGACCCCGAGCAGGUCAGGUCCCACCAGAACGGUGCUUCCCUCCCCUGUUAUUGUCUGGGGUUUUUAAGUUUAUUUUUCAUUUUACAUUUUAUAUGGUGCCUUAUAUCUUAGGUCUUAAUAUAGUCACGCCUAGUGUUUUAAGGGCUACAUCACACGCCUCACGAGCACAUAGCACAUCCCCGACACCGAGCAGCCCUCCCCGAGUCCCGUGCGGACUGUGUCACUGCCCAGGACGAGACUCUGCUGGAAGCACUCACUCCCCACCGCCCCCCCAGCCCCCAGCAGCCCCUCAUCUGCCAUCUGUCUCUGUGUCUUCACCUGUUCUGGAUAUUUCCUGUAAAUGGAAUCCCACAACAGAUGAAAGAGGAGAUGCACAAAAUGAAGCCCUUUGAGUCACUGUGUGCGUCUGGGCAGUGUCCCCUGUUCUGAGUGUGACGUCAGAGCCAGAAGACCGACGGGAAACUCCUGGCUCUUCCUGUGGCCAAAACAGGAACAGGAAACAUGUGGAAAGUGAGAAAGACAACCCACAAACUGGAAGAGCCUCCUCACAGCCCAGGGCCAGGGCGACAGGAGACAUCCCUGGGGUCCUGAAGACGCUCCAGAGCCAAUGCUUCUCUCCGGGUGGGGCCCCUCCCCUGCAGAGCCCAUCCCGGGACCCCGGCCGCAGGGAUUCCUGCGCAGUGUCUCCAAGAUGUAUUUUCAAGAGGGUCCGGCACGGCACAGGCUGGAGUAUCAGGGACUGGAAACGGCAGUGUCCACGGAGAGGGGAUGGGACGCAUCGGUCCUGGUCCAGGUGGGCCAGUGAGCGCUGGGCAGCUGCUAAUGUGGGUGUGGGGUCCCCACGUGCUGACGGAGACCCCAGGCGUCUUCUGACAUGGGCCACCUGUGGACUGUGCACCCAGGACCCCGUCUGUCAGACCACGUACACGUGAGGUCAGGGGGAGACACACACGUAUGAAACCGAAUCUGUGUAUGAGCGAGGAGACAGACAGAGAGACACGUGGCAAACCUUUGGUGAUGUGCGCCCUGGGGUGGGGUGUCCACGUCUUUCAUCUUUAAAUUUUU